CGGCGUGCCUAAUACAUGCAAGUCGAACGAGUUCUGAUUAUUGAAAGGUGCUUGCAUCUUGAUUUAAUUUUGAACGAGUGGCGGACGGGUGAGUAACACGUGGGUAACCUGCCCUUAAGUGGGGGAUAACAUUUGGAAACAGAUGCUAAUACCGCAUAAAUCCAAGAACCGCAUGGUUCUUGGCUGAAAGAUGGCGUAAGCUAUCGCUUUUGGAUGGACCCGCGGCGUAUUAGCUAGUUGGUGAGGUAACGGCUCACCAAGGCAAUGAUACGUAGCCGAACUGAGAGGUUGAUCGGCCACAUUGGGACUGAGACACGGCCCAAACUCCUACGGGAGGCAGCAGUAGGGAAUCUUCCACAAUGGACGCAAGUCUGAUGGAGCAACGCCGCGUGAGUGAAGAAGGCUUUCGGGUCGUAAAACUCUGUUGUUGGAGAAGAAUGGUCGGCAGAGUAACUGUUGUCGGCGUGACGGUAUCCAACCAGAAAGCCACGGCUAACUACGUGCCAGCAGCCGCGGUAAUACGUAGGUGGCAAGCGUUAUCCGGAUUUAUUGGGCGUAAAGCGAGCGCAGGCGGUUUUUUAAGUCUGAUGUGAAAGCCCUCGGCUUAACCGAGGAAGUGCAUCGGAAACUGGGAAACUUGAGUGCAGAAGAGGACAGUGGAACUCCAUGUGUAGCGGUGAAAUGCGUAGAUAUAUGGAAGAACACCAGUGGCGAAGGCGGCUGUCUGGUCUGUAACUGACGCUGAGGCUCGAAAGCAUGGGUAGCGAACAGGAUUAGAUACCCUGGUAGUCCAUGCCGUAAACGAUGAAUGCUAGGUGUUGGAGGGUUUCCGCCCUUCAGUGCCGCAGCUAACGCAUUAAGCAUUCCGCCUGGGGAGUACGACCGCAAGGUUGAAACUCAAAGGAAUUGACGGGGGCCCGCACAAGCGGUGGAGCAUGUGGUUUAAUUCGAAGCAACGCGAAGAACCUUACCAGGUCUUGACAUCUUUUGAUCACCUGAGAGAUCAGGUUUCCCCUUCGGGGGCAAAAUGACAGGUGGUGCAUGGUUGUCGUCAGCUCGUGUCGUGAGAUGUUGGGUUAAGUCCCGCAACGAGCGCAACCCUUAUGACUAGUUGCCAGCAUUUAGUUGGGCACUCUAGUAAGACUGCCGGUGACAAACCGGAGGAAGGUGGGGAUGACGUCAAAUCAUCAUGCCCCUUAUGACCUGGGCUACACACGUGCUACAAUGGAUGGUACAACGAGUUGCGAGACCGCGAGGUCAAGCUAAUCUCUUAAAGCCAUUCUCAGUUCGGACUGUAGGCUGCAACUCGCCUACACGAAGUCGGAAUCGCUAGUAAUCGCGGAUCAGCACGCCGCGGUGAAUACGUUCCCGGGCCUUGUACACACCGCCCGUCACACCAUGAGAGUUUGUAACACCCGAAGCCGGUGGCGUAACCCUUUUAGGGAGCGAGCCGUCUAAGGUGGGACAAAUGAUUAGGGUGAAGU
rnacentral:rRNA from 1 species